GCCGAAAUAGCUCAGUUACGAGAGCGUUAGACUAUAGAUCGAAAGUCCCUGGUUCGAUCUCAGGUUUCGGCA
rnacentral:tRNA from 1 species